UGGAAUUGCAGAGUGUUGAUGAAAAUGAAUGUAAAAAAAAGCGCACUUCCUCAAUGGAAAUCAGUUAAGUGCGCCCAACAAGAGGGUGGGGUCGAGUGUGGCUAUUACGUGAUGAAAUUCAUGCAUGACAUAUUCAAAAGUUGCAAGGAAGUUCAAGAUCUGGAAAAGGUUUUCAAAACUCCAAGGGAGGAGCCCUUUACCAAAAAGGAGUUGGAUGAGGUUCGAGACAAGUGGGCUAUGUACUUCAACGAUUGUGAACUACCCUCAGUGUAAUAA